UGGCAACAGGGAGGAAGGAGGGGAUGAUGUCAGGUCAGUAUUUCCCUUACGUGUGGGGCUACAAACACGAUACAAUGGCCAGUACAAAGGGCAGCCAAGUCGCAAGACGGAGCAAAUCCCAUCAAAGCUGGUCUCAGUUCGGAUAGCAGGCUGAAACUCGCCUGCUUGAAGCUGGAAUCGCUAGUAACGGUAAGUCAGCACAUUACCGUGAAUACGUUCCCGGGUCUUGUACACACCGCCCGUCAAACCAUGAAAGUCGCCAA
rnacentral:rRNA from 1 species